rnacentral:rRNA from 1 species
GUGAACUGCGGAAGGAUCAUUGUUGAU